rnacentral:rRNA from 1 species
AUUGAACGCUGGCGGCAGGCCUAACACAUGCAAGUCGAAUGGUAACAGGAAACAGCUUGCUGUUUCGCUGACGAGUGGCGGACGGGUGAGUAAUGUCUGGGAAACUGCCUGAUGGAGGGGGAUAACUACUGGAAACGGUAGCUAAUACCGCAUAACGUCGCAAGACCAAAGAGGGGGACCUUCGGGCCUCUUGCCAUCAGAUGUGCCCAGAUGGGAUUAGCUAGUAGGUGGGGUAACGGCUCACCUAGGCGACGAUCCCUAGCUGGUCUGAGAGGAUGACCAGCGACACUGGAACUGAGACACGGUCCAGACUCCUACGGGAGGCAGCAGUGGGGAAUAUUGCACAAUGGGCGCAAGCCUGAUGCAGCCAUGCCGCGUGUAUGAAGAAGGCCUUCGGGUUGUAAAGUACUUUCAGCGGGGAGGAAGGGAGUAAAGUUAAUACCUUUGCUCAUUGACGUUACCCGCAGAAGAAGCACCGGCUAACUCCGUG